AGAUGAAGAAGAAUCAAACGAAGAAGCAAAGAAACCUGCUUAUCAGAAUUGGGACUUAAUUAAAGCUUUUGGGUGCUGCAAUUGUUCAACAACACAACAACUCACUCACUGAGUCAAUAUUACUAGGAGAAUUGAACUGGGCAACCGUGCCAUAGGAUUCAGCUCAUUGUACAGGCUUUUAUCAUGUACAUUUAUACAGCCAGCUUUCGACAAAAAUAUGUGGCUUUCUUAAGUGAUUCGUCAAUGGAGCACAAGACAAGAAGUAGAGAAUAAAUAUAGGGCCCCAUGUGUAACUGAUGUAGUGCUUUUGAUCUCAAAGUACAUUGAGAUACAGAGAUGAUUGCUUUCAUACAGUUUGCAUAUAGCCUCAAGACUCCUAUGAAAGGUUGAUGACUUUAUCAUUUAUUGGGCUCUAUAUGCAAAAACCUGAGGACAAAUGAAUACUAAAGCAGGCAAGAAUUUAAAAGUGCAUGUUUUUUUCCAAACUCGACUAUGCGAACUUUACACAGAAACAAGGAGAAAAUAAUGUAUGAUAGGCAACAUCAACAGCAAAGUGUUAUUCCCAAGUUUUGAGGUUACCAUGCAUGAAAGCUAUAGCUCGGUGUUACCACUCAAAGUAUUACCUACUUUUAAGGAUAGCUUAAUUUCAUGGUGAAUGAUUUUUGGACUUCCCAACCAAAGUUGGCUUUCCAGGUGAAGGCAAGACUGUUCACCUAAAUGAGAAAGAUCGAUGCUUUUAAACAUGAACUUCCUCUCUUUGUGGUCAUGGGAUGUUGGAA